GACGUAGGGCGCGAGCGUUGUCCGGAUUUAUUGGGCGUAAAGAGCUCGUAGGCGGCUUGUCGCGUCGUCCGUGAAAACUUGUGGCUUAACCACAGGCUGGCGGUCGAUACGGGCAGGCUGGAGUUCGGUAGGGGAGACUGGAAUUCCUGGUGUAGCGGUGAAAUGCGUAGAUAUCUGGAGGAACACCGGGUGGCGAAGGCGGCGUCCUGGACCAACACUGACACUGAUGAGCGAAGCCAGGGGAGCAAACGGGG
rnacentral:rRNA from 1 species